rnacentral:tRNA from 1 species
GCAGCCCGUAGUUCAAUUCGUAAAGCGAUGCCCUUCAAAGGCAGAGGUCAGAGGUUUGACUCUCCCCGGGGGCCCCA